AAAGUUUUGUAUAGCUUAUCAAGUAUCUGUAAAACCUUUCCUCACCCCUGCAGGCACCUUCAAGGGGAGAGCUGCAGACGCUUUUAUCCAAAGCGACUUACAAUGGAAUCAAGUAACCAGGGGUGGAAUCGAACCGGCGACCAUGAUGUCUUUCGUACACAAGACUCCCUUCACCGGGGUACUGCGAUCCAAAUGACAAACCACUAUGAUGCAGUGGAGCUGAACAGGCCACAAGAUCCAGAACAACUGGAGGAAACAACCGAGAUUGAGGUUGUCCUGUCAAAUAAAAUCAUGGAGCUCUCCUCCAUACUUCAUCUUAACACUCCAGUGGGCAACUUUUUCUUCCACUUUAACGUCGACAAAGUUUUGAAUUUUUCUUUUAAACUCUUCAAACAGAAUGGGAAUAAUCAGGAAGAGUUACCGGGGGACAGUAUAUAUCCUGACGAUCCAGAGAGAUUAAAAGUGAUUCAUAAUCCGUGGAUUAGGCAACAUAUGACUCAUUUCAGUAUAGAAAGUGGCAUGACAUAUCAACGCUGUAAUGCCAUAAUUUUUCAUAAUGGAACAAUUUUAAAAAAGUUUCCUCAAGUCAGGCCUCGGUAUAAACAGAACACACACAGGCCCAACAAACAUGCAGAGGAACAAAUUAUAGAGGACAUAGAUAAAUAUCUAGUAUCCCUGAAUCUUAAUGGCAUUUACAACUUAUAUAUUGUGAUUUACACAUACCAAAGCCCAUGUCUGAAGAGAGCCGAUAAC